UUUGAAGGCCAGAGAUUAGCAGAGAGAUUAUUCCAAAUAAUUGUUGUCACAUUUGGUGCUGUUGGGUGGCUGUAUGGUUACUAGGUACAGGAUUUUCUUUAUGACUGUUGCAACUCUUGGAGCAGGGGAUUUGUUUUAGCUUGUUUGGUUACGCUUCCUCCAUGGCCAAUCUACCGACGAUAUCCUUUAAAAUGGGCACCUGCUCAAGAUAGCACAACUUCCAUCUCUGGAGGUGAAAGUUAUUCAGCCAAGAAGAAGAAAAAGUAGAUAAGAUGAAUUGAAGUACU